rnacentral:tRNA from 1 species
GGUAGAGCUCAGUGGUAGAGCGCUCGCCUAGUGUGUGUGAGGCCCUGGGUUCGAUUCUCAGCACCA